AUUUUCGCGCACAUUAUUUUGGCCAAAAUUCCACUCACGACUUUUCUCACUCCAAAUAACAAAACCUAUUCGCAAAACCUUUUGAUUCAGCUCUCUCAAAACCUUAUAUUCACUCACGCCGUCGAACACCCAAACACAGCCACAGACUCUCUCAAAACCUUCUAUUCACUCUCGCCGUCGAACACUGAAACCCAACCACGAAGUCUUCUCCCUUUGUCAACCUUUCACCAUCGAUUCAUCGAUUCACCACCGGAAAGAGGAAACAUGAUUUGGGUUUCAAUAUAAAUUUCAGUUUUAGUUAAAGUUACAGCAAGCAUACGAUAUCAUAAAGCUGAGAAUGGAGGAAUGCUUACUGGUUGAAGCGACGAGGAGAAGAAAAUGCAGCUUUCGAUCUUGCUCAUAAGCUAUUCGAUAAAAUGCCUAACUGGAAUUUUUUCCUCUUCUUGCUUCUAUUUUACUUUUGAUUUGUUGUUGUUUUGUGUCUUAGUUGCUAUUGAUGGUUAUGUUCAGGUUGGUUUACAUAUUAGCAUGGAAUUAUCGUCAUUAUUACCGUUUCGUGCUAUUGCCGAUAAGAAGUACUUAUUAUUCAUUAUGCGUGACAAAUAUAGUGUUUCUUUCCACUGUUAUGAUUUCUUUCUGUGUUAACGUUCUAGUUGAAGUGGUUUAAUUCAGUUUUGCAAUGGGAAUCUUGGACUUGCUUAUGGUUGACAUAGUAUUAUAAUUUGUAUGAAGUAUGAACCCACUUAGUAUAUAACAAAAAUUAAUUGAAUCAUCCUAUUAAGCUAACAAUGUAAGCAAUUCUAUUAGACAUAGAUGUUGAAAUUAAGAUAAAAGAGAUGGAACAGAAGGUGGCUGAAGGCAGUAUUGAAUGGAGUAUUGUCUCUAGAAGAUAACGAUAUCAAACUUUGCAACACUUCAACCAGGUGGGACUAUUACUUUUGACCAUCAGAAUCUUCAAGGACUCUUGGGCUAGUCUGUUGAGUAUUAACCGACAAAGUUUUUCCCUCUCAUUCUCGUCCUCUCCAUUGUCAAGUUCAAGAUUACACAUAAUCCUUUAAUCCUCUGAAAUUUCUAGUGGAAGCCUUCCUCCUGAAGGAAUCGUUAACGAAGUACUCUCAGGCAAUGAAAGUCGCGCCAAAUGAGCCUGAUAAAGUAGGAACCACUUGGACAAAAGUUUAAUGCAUGAAGACAGUACUAUUCUUGAAUCUCUGCAGAUUCUCCUCAAUGGGCAAAAAUUGAUCAUGAUUACCCAAAUUUAGGGAAGGAAGAAAGAAACCUACGUCUUGCAUUGUCUACUGACGGAAUAAACCCUCAUGGUAUUCAGAGUAGUAAGCUUACCACUUGGCCGGUGAUUUUGUUGAACUAUAACCUACAUCCAUGGCUAUGCAAGAAGCGCAAGUACAUGAUAUUGACUAUGUUAAUUUCUGGACCCAAGCAACCAGGAAAUGAUAUAGACAUAUAAAACAAGAGGAUUGGGAUAAAUUUGUAGCUCAGCGUAUGACUGAAAAGUUUCAGAAAGUUAGUAUUGAAAAUCGAGAAAGAGCGUUAAUUAAUCCUCAACAUCCCUAUUGAAAGUCACGUUUAGGGUGUGCUCGUCUUGAAGUCGAUAUGGUAGAAGAGUCAGAAGGGGAUGAGAUAAAUCGUAGUCAAGUGUGGAAGGCUGCCCGCGUCAAUAAGGGUGACGUGAUUAUAAAACAGAAAACAAGAAGCAGUUAUUUUGCCUAGCUAAGUGAUUGUAUCUGAGGGUUCGGCGCUUUUGGUUCGCGAAGUGUGGAUACUACUUGGUCUUGUUUUGUUGUCGUUUCUUGUUUUUUUAGGUGUUUUGUUUAGAGAAUAUGAUUGUUUGCUUUAGGAUUGAAGUACUCUUAGUUGGAAUUAAUGCAUGAAUAUACAUAUUUGGCUAUGCAAAUGCCUCUUUUUUUUGUACAUUAAAAUGUUAUGAUAUUUCUUAACAAGUGGAUUUGGUUUAAAAUGUUAUUUGAUAUUGAAUU